CAAAGGUAGCGUAAUCAUUUGUCUAUUAAUUGUAGACCAGUAUGAAAGGCAAAAUGAGGGUCCAUCUGUCUCUUACAGCCAAUCAAUUAAACUGAUCUCCUAGUAAAAAAGCUAGAAUCCCCACAUAAGACCAGAAGACCCUGUGAAGCUUUAACUAAACUAUUAAAUCAUCUAAUAACUCCUUUAGGUUGGGGCGACCGUGGAAAAAAGAAGAACUUCCAAUAAAUCAUGAUUAUAACCAUGUCUUCCUAGGCAGACCAGCCUAUUAAACCACAGACCCAGUACUACUGAUCAAUGAACCAAGUUACUCCAGGGAUAACAGCGCCAUCUUCUUCAAGAGCCCAUAUCAAAAAGAAGGUUUACGACCUCGAUGUUGGAU
rnacentral:rRNA from 1 species